UGGGGACAGAGAAAAAUCCCCCGUGGGGAAGGAGGGGAGAAGUCCACUGCAACAGACAACAGUGAUGGCUUACUCUCGGGGUUCAUCUGUUUACUGAAGUCUGAUGGGAAUCCCACCCCACUCAGACCCACACUGGGCAGCGCUAUGGGAAGGGGCUCCAUGAGAAGGAAGGAGACGCCGAGGAAGAGUGGGCGGCCAGCACCUGCAGACCCCGGUGGGAGAGACGGCCACGAAGCAGCCUGGCCAGGAUGUGCAGUGCGCUGCCCUUCCGAACACCGGUGUGCACAGCAGGCGGUUUAGGUGACUCUGCUUCCCGCCAAGGCAGAUUGCCACAUGCAGCGCCUCAUUUGGAUGUGUCUGGAAUCUUGACUACCCUACCUUCUCCUACAAAUGGACCUUGAGAGCUUGUUUGGAGGUUCUACCAGGGAAGCCCAGCUCUUCUAUUGGGUAUGGUCGUUCUCUUCGACUGAGCUGCAGCUUCGGGAGGGACGCACAUGAAGCAGUGAGGAAGGAAGGGGACACCCGCCUAGCCAGCCAGAUCAGCCGAAUCAACCCUGGCGAUCAAUGGGAUGACAGGUGUCGCAGCCAGAUCGCCCUCAUAUCCGGUAGUUCUACUUUUAACCUUUUGUGGAAUCUCCAUAGUUUUCUGCGGUGCUGCGCCAUUUACAUUCCCACCAACAGCGCACAGAGGUUUACACUUGUACAUGUUUCCAAUGACGAACUAAAAACUUUCAUGUUUUCAGAGGUUCAACAU
rnacentral:lncRNA from 1 species